rnacentral:other from 1 species
GACCGCCUGGGGUGUGCGCGAGCUUCUGAUUAUGUCGAACCUACACUUUUUCUAGGGAACUCGAUUUGAUUCCUGUGGACGUUGUAUCGCAAGUUACGAGUAACGAAAGCCGGACUUAGGGUACCCACCUGCGAUUUCGCGGGUUUUCGACAUAGUAAGCGAACGGCAUUUUGGACCCCUU